AGGUCAAGAGGUGGACCAGAUGGCACAGCUGCACAAACAACUCGAUAAAAAGAAUCAUGACCUGCAGGAGGCACAAGAGAAAUUCCAAGAGCUUCAAAACCAGUUUGACGAGGAGAUGAGACAAAAAGAGGAAAUGAUGCAAGAACUUGCAAGUCUGGCAGCGACCUGUACUGAGAAACAAG